rnacentral:tRNA from 1 species
AUUGGGAUAGUUAAAUGUAUAAUGAAGGUUUGAAGUGCCUAUAUUGGGGCGUUAAAUUCCUCCUCUCAAUG